GUGGGGAAUAUUGGACAAUGGGCGAAAGCCUGAUCCAGCAAUGCCGCGUGAGUGAUGAAGGCCCUAGGGUUGUAAAGCUCUUUUACCCGGGAUGAUAAUGACAGUACCGGGAGAAUAAGCUCCGGCUAACUCCGUGCCAGCAGCCGCGGUAAUACGGAGGGAGCUAGCGUUGUUCGGAAUUACUGGGCGUAAAGCGCACGUAGGCGGCUUUGUAAGUUAGAGGUGAAAGCCUGGAGCUUAACUCCAGAACUGCCUUUAAGACUGCAUCGCUUGAAUCCAGGAGAGGUGAGUGGAAUUCCGAGUGUAGAGGUGAAAUUCGUAGAUAUUCGGAAGAACACCAGUGGCGAAGGCGGCUCACUGGACUGGUAUUGACGCUGAGGUGCGAAAGCGUGGGGAGCAAACAGGAUUAGAAACCCUGGUAGUCC
rnacentral:rRNA from 1 species